rnacentral:rRNA from 1 species
AUUGAACGCUGGCGGCAGGCUUAACACAUGCAAGUCGAGCGAGCGGCGGACGGGUGAGUAAUGUCUGGGAAACUGCCUGAUGGAGGGGGAUAACUACUGGAAACGGUAGCUAAUACCGCAUACCAUCAGAUUUGCCCAGAGGGGAUUAGCUUGUAGGUGGGGGAAUGGCUCACCUAGGCGACGAACCCUACCUGGUCUGAGAGGAUGACCGGCCACACUGGAACUGAGACACGGUCCAGACUCCUACGGAAGGCAGCGGUGGGGAAUAUUGCACAAGGGGCGCAAGCCUGAUGAAGCCAGGCCGCGUGGGUGAAGAGGGCCUUCGGGUUGUAAAGCACUUUCAGCGAGGAGGCGUUACUCGCAGAGGAAGCACCGGCUAACUCCGUGCCAGCCGCCGCGGUAAUUC